rnacentral:sRNA from 1 species
ACUGCAGGGGACAGUCACAGGCUUGGCUUUGGAUGCUGGUAAACAGGGGAGUCUUUGUUUAGGAGGCAAGGUGACCACAGGCUCAGUGCUCUUGUGUAUCUUCCCGGGAACCCAUGAAGACAGGACACUGCUCCCAAUGGGGCUGUGAAGCAGUGUCUGGCUUCAGAGGAAGCUCCAGAGCUGCCUCAGACAAGGUAUUGGAAUGUAUCCCAGGCUGGCCCCCAGCUCGCAGCAAUGCUCCUGCUUCAGUUUUCCCUGGGAUUUUAGACACGUUCCUGCUUAAACCGAGGAGUUUUGAAGAACAGGAAAGAGAGCAGCUAUACGGUCGGUCUCUCAACUGGAGAGGCUUCAAAGCUCCACCAUGAAAUAAGGAAGCAAGACCAACGCUCUCCCUUGAGGAAGAGACCCAGUGUCCUUGCCUCAGGAACCUGGGGCACCACCUGCCCGUCCUCUUCCAAUGAAUGAUUUCAGCUCUUCAUCAGGAUAACUGUCAUGUGGUGGCCGGUGACCUGCUCAUCUCCUAGAAACUCCCAACAGGAAAAAAACAAAACAAAAUAAAAAACUAAAAAACAAA